rnacentral:rRNA from 1 species
CCGUCAAUUCCUUUGAGUUUCAGCCUUGCGGCCGUACUYCCCAGGUGGAUCACUUAAUGCUUUUGCUUAGCCGCUAACUGUGUAUCGCUAACAGCGAGUGAUCAUCGUUUACGGCGUGGACUACCUGGGUAUCUAAUCCUGUUCGAUCCCCACGCUUUCGUGCAUCAGCGUCAGUAAUGGCCCAGUAAGCUGCCUUCGCAAUCGGUGUUCUGUGUAAUAUCUAAGCAUUUCACCGCUACAUUACACAUUCCGCCUACCUUGACCACACUCAAGACUGACAGUAUCAACGGCAAGUCUACAGUUAAGCUGCAGGUUUUCACCACUGACUUAUCAAUCCGCCUACGCACCCUUUAAACCCAAUAAAUCCGGAUAACGCUCGCAUCCUCCGUAUUACCGCGGCUGCUGGCACGGAGUUAGCCGAUGCUUAUUCCCAGGGUACCGUCAAAUACCGACACGUCGAUACUGUUCGCCCCCUGGAAAAGCAGUUUACAACGCAUAGCGCCGUCUCCCUGCAUGCGGGAUGGCUGGUUCAGGCUUGCGCCCAUUGACCAAUAUUCCUCACUGCUGCCUCCCGUAGGAGU